AGAACUUUCCAGAGAUGGAUUGGUGCCUUUCGGGAACUCUGACACAGGUGCUGCAUGGCUGUCGUCAGCUCGAGUCGUGAGAUGUUGGGUUAAGUCCCGUAACGAGCGCAACCCUUGUCCUUAGUUACCAGCACGUCAUGGUGGGCACUCUAAGGAGACUGCCGGUGACAAACCGGAGGAAGGUGGGGAUGACGUCAAGUCAUCAUGGCCCUUACGGCCUGGGCUACACACGUGCUACAAUGGUCGGUACAGAGGGUUGCCAAGCCGCGAGGUGGAGCUAAUCUCACAAAACCGAUCGUAGUCCGGAUCGCAGUCUGCAACUCGACUGCGUGAAGUCGGAAUCGCUAGUAAUCGCGAAUCAGAAUGUCGCGGUGAAUACGUUCCCGGGCCUUGUACACACCGCCCGUCACACCAUGGGAGUGGGUUGCUCCAGAAGUAGCUAGUCUAACCUUCGGGGGGACGGUUACCACGGAGUGAUUCAUGACUGGGGUGAAGUCGUAACAAGGUAGGCGUAGUGCU
rnacentral:rRNA from 1 species